rnacentral:ncRNA from 2 species
UCCGCAACCAAGGGGUGCAACUGUGCUAACGCGCAGACGCUGAGAUGCUUUAGGGCAAACCCUUAGAACCUGAUCCGGAUUAUACCGGCGGAGGGAUGGUGCUAACUCCUCAU